CUUCUAGUCUCUGCUCAGUGAAAGCAGGCAGUGCUCCAGUUUCCCUGGGUAAUAUCAGUAGAGUCCAGCAGGUAGUUGAGCCUGACACUUCCCCUGGUAUUAGGGAGGCAGAGUGAUGGAGGAGGCUAGUUGGCAUGCUGAAUCCCCUCUUCCUUUUCCCCAGUGUCAGCAGGGCCCAACAAGUUGCUGAGCUACUGCCCCAAUCCUGCGGCAACAAAGCAGUGUGAGGGAACCCUCAGCUUCCCUGCUACCAGCGGUCUGUGGGCCCCUUGGAUGCAAUGGGCCAGUGGGAGUUGGCGCCCCACUUUGCUUGGGAAGGCAUCAGUGGGGUAAGCCAUAAAUUUACAGAUACGAGACUUUGAGUGAAAUCUAAAUGGGAUAAACCCAAAUGGUGUGAAACCCAUGAUAAGACACAUAAUUAAACUUUUAAAAACUAGAUCCUCCCCCCACAAUCUUGAAAGUGGCCAGAGAGAUGUGCAUCAUGUGUAGAGGAACACUAACUCAAAUAACAGCAGAUUUCUUAUCUGAAACCAGGAAGGCCAGAAGAAAAUGAUAGAACAUUUUUCAAGAACUGAAAGACAAGAACUGUCAACUACCAGUUCUAUAACCAGCAAAAAUAUCUUUCAAGAAUGAGGGGGGAAAAUAGACAUUCUCAGAUAACAAAAAAGUAAGAGAUUUUGUUGCUAGGAAACUUACUUUUUUUCAGAAUGGCUGAUAAAAUUUCUCCAUACAUAAAGGAAAUGAUAACAGAAGAAGACUUGGAUCAGAAAAGGGGAAAAAACAUUAGAAUGGGUAAAAAAAAAAGGGGGGGGGUAAAUAGACUAUCCUACUUCUCAUGAGUUUCUUAAACAUAUUGGAAGUUUCAACAGAAAUUCUAACACCCAUUUGAUGUAGUGUUCAAUAUAUGUGGAGAAGAAUCUUAAGUAUAUUUUAGUGGUGUGUGGAUGCCUCAGUUGGUUAAAUGUAAGACUCUUGAUGUCAGCUCAGGUCUUAGUCUUGGGGCUGUGAGUUCAAGCCCCAUGUGGGGUUCCUACUGGGCGUGGAGCCUACUUAAAAAAAAUAAGAAAAAAGUAUGUUUAAAAAUGGGGUAUAUAGAGGGAUCAACAUGGAAAUAAGGUUUUUAUCCAUCACUCACAAGUAGUUGGUGCUGAUAACUGUAGACUGCAAUAAGUUACGUAUGUAUAUUUUAAUACUUAUAGCAACCACUAAGAAAA
rnacentral:lncRNA from 1 species